UGUUAUCACGGGAGACACACGGCGGGUGCUAACGUCCGUCGUGAAGAGGGAAACAACCCAGACCGCCAGCUAAGGUCCCAAAGUCAUGGUUAAGUGGGAAACGAUGUGGGAAGGCCCAGACAGCCAGGAUGUUGGCUUAGAAGCAGCCAUCAUUUAAAGAAAGCGUAAUAGCUCACUGGUCGAGUCGGCCUGCGCGGAAGAUGUAACGGGGCUAAACCAUGCACCGAAGCUGCGGCAGCGAACGUAUCACUUAAAGCGAUUCAGCGGGUUACGAUUGACGGAGCGAAGCGACGUCAAAGCGUAUACAAAGUCGAGUCGGUUUAAGGAUACGUUCGUUGGGUAGGGGAGCGUUCUGUAAGCCCGUGAAGGUGGCCUGUGAGGGUUGCUGGAGGUAUCAGAAGUGCGAAUGCUGACAUAAGUAACGAUAAAGCGGGUGAAAAGCCCGCUCGCCGGAAGACCAAGGGUUCCUGUCCAACGUUAAUCGGGGCAGGGUGAGUCGACCCCUAAGGCGAGGCCGAAAGGCGUAGUCGAUGGGAAACGGGUUAAUAUUCCCGUACUUGGUGUUACUGCGAAGGGGGGACGGAGAAGGCUAUGUUGGCCGGGCGACGGUUGUCCCGGUUUAAGCGUGUAGGUGUGUGUUCCAGGUAAAUCCGGUUCACUUUAACACUGAGGCGUGAUGACGAGGCACUACGGUGCUGAAGCAACAAAUGCCCUGCUUCCAGGAAAAGCCUCUAAGCAUCAGGUAACAUCAAAUCGUACCCCAAACCGACACAGGUGGUCAGGUAGAGAAUACCAAGGCGCUUGAGAGAACUCGGGUGAAGGAACUAGGCAAAAUGGUGCCGUAACUUCGGGAGAAGGCACGCUGACACGUAGGUGAAGUGAUUUACUCACGGAGCUGAAGUCAGUCGAAGAUACCAGCUGGCUGCAACUGUUUAUUAAAAACACAGCACUGUGCAAACACGAAAGUGGACGUAUACGGUGUGACGCCUGCCCGGUGCCGGAAGGUUAAUUGAUGGGGUCAGCGCAAGCGAAGCUCCUGAUCGAAGCCCCGGUAAACGGCGGCCGUAACUAUAACGGUCCUAAGGUAGCGAAAUUCCUUGUCGGGUAAGUUCCGACCUGCACGAAUGGCGUAAUGAUGGCCAGGCUGUCUCCUCCCGAGACUCAGUGAAAUUGAACUCGCUGUGAAGAUGCAGUGUACCCGCGGCAAGACGGAAAGACCCCGUGAUCCUUUACUAUAGCUUGACACUGAACAUUGAGCCUUGAUGUGUAGGAUAGGUGGGAGGC
rnacentral:rRNA from 1 species